rnacentral:tRNA from 1 species
GGGUGUAUAGCUCAGUGGUAGAGCACAUGCUUAGCAUGUGCGAGAUCCUGGGUUCAAUCCCUGGUAUCCCCA